UGAUCAUGGCUCAGGAUGAACGCUAGCGGGAGGCCUAACACAUGCAAGCCGAGCGGUAUUGUUUCUUCGGAAAUGAGAGAGCGGCGUACGGGUGCGGAACACGUGUGCAACCUGCCUUUAUCUGGGGGAUAGCCUUUCGAAAGGAAGAUUAAUACUCCAUAAUAUAUUGAACGGCAUCGUUUAAUAUUGAAAGCUCCGGCGGAUAGAGAUGGGCACGCGCAAGAUUAGCUAGUUGGUGAGGUAACGGCUCACCAAGGCGAUGAUCUUUAGGGGGCCUGAGAGGGUGAUCCCCCACACUGGUACUGAGACACGGACCAGACUCCUACGGGAGGCAGCAGUGAGGAAUAUUGGUCAAUGGGUGCAAGCCUGAACCAGCCAUCCCGCGUGAAGGACGACUGCCCUAUGGGUUGUAAACUUCUUUUGUAUAGGGAUAAACCUAC
rnacentral:rRNA from 1 species